AAACUUGAAAUUGCAUGACAGUUCAUACAAUUCUAGAAUGAUAGUUGAAAAAUGCAAUUGUUUUAAUCAAAACCUUACCUUAGCUGCUCCUUAUCUUUAUUCCUUUAAGUGUUAAUUUUAAUGAAUUAAAAAUUAAAAUUAAAUUUCAACAUUUUGACAGUUUUAGAAAGAAACAACAUAAAUGGAAAUUUAUAUAAUAAUGACAUUGAUAUUGAAAAUGUUUAUUUGGAUAUAUUAAAUGAUGUUAAUAUGAAUACAAGUGUGAUAGAAGUUCAAUCUACAUGUGAUACAAACAAUAGCAUAAAUGUAUACAACUGAACUUAUUAUAAAUCGAUAUUUUUUCUGUCUCAUGAUGUUCUAUGACAGAGAUUGCAAACCUUUUUGUAACAAUGGCAAUGUAUCAAAUAAAAUACUUAGAUUGGAUUUUAUUUUCUCUACAGUGUAUUAAACCAUUUUGUUUGCUCAUUCCUACAAAUCAUCAAAAAUAUAUUAAGACAUCAAAAGUAUAAAUUAUGCUUUUACAUAAAAAUCUAACUAUGUAUAGUAUAGUAAGUACGGCGUCGGCGUGUUACUUGAAUCGAACUUGCAUCAUAAAAGCGGACAGCGACAUGAUGCAAAACCACUAAUAAUUCAGUAGGCAGGUAUUUUUCAGAAGACGAAAAACGUCUCAUUUAUGCACAGACCAUAAUGGCUUUAUAUUUUCGAUGAGUCAUUUUUGAUAUGAAAAAAUUUAAAAAAUCAAUCAUUUUUAUAGUGAAAUUAAGGUAGACAUUUUUUUUGUUCGGCAUAUUGCAUAACAAUCGGCCAAAUUAGCUAUUCCCUCUAUUAUCUUAUUUUCAUACAAAAAACACAUGUUGUAAUGUUUUUUGAAACAUCUGAAUAAUAGUGUCUACAAUGGACAAUGGUAUCUCUAUAUAGUGAUACAUACAGUAAAAUGAGAGCCACUAUUGUCAUGGGUACUCCCAAU